UGUUGAUAGAGGAGGCAACAUCUUCAAGGCAAAACCUUAGACCUCAUUCAACAUCAUCCAAUGUUGCAAUCCCCCUCAGGAGCCCAGUGCCCGAUGUGCACAGGAACAUUUCCAGUGUCAGAAGUAGAACUGCCAUACCAGCCUUUGUGGAGAAAGGCUCUCCAAGGAAGGUGAUUUUCAAGGGACAGACAGG